rnacentral:siRNA from 1 species
UCGUGAUGGUAAUCUGCUUAUUU